GAGUUUGAUCAUGGCUCAGAUUGAACGCUGGCGGCAGGCUUAACACAUGCAAGUCGAGCGGGGGAAGGUAGCUUGCUACCGGACCUAGCGGCGGACGGGUGAGUAAUGCUUAGGAAUCUGCCUAUUAGUGGGGGACAACAUCUCGAAAGGGAUGCUAAUACCGCAUACGUCCUACGGGAGAAAGCAGGGGAUCUUCGGACCUUGCGCUAAUAGAUGAGCCUAAGUCGGAUUAGCUAGUUGGUGGGGUAAAGGCCUACCAAGGCGACGAUCUGUAGCGGGUCUGAGAGGAUGAUCCGCCACACUUGGACUGAGACACGGCCCAGACUCCUACGGGAGGCAGCAGUGGGGAAUAUUGGACAAUGGGGGGAACCCUGAUCCAGCCAUGCCGCGUGUGUGAAGAAGGCCUUAUGGUUGUAAAGCACUUUAAGCGAGGAGGAGGCUACUUUAGUUAAUACCUAGAGAUAGUGGACGUUACUCGCAGAAUAAGCACCGGCUAACUCUGUGCCAGCAGCCGCGGUAAUACAGAGGGUGCGAGCGUUAAUCGGAUUUACUGGGCGUAAAGCGUGCGUAGGCGGCUUAUUAAGUCGGAUGUGAAAUCCCCGAGCUUAACUUGGGAAUUGCAUUCGAUACUGGUGAGCUAGAGUAUGGGAGAGGAUGGUAGAAUUCCAGGUGUAGCGGUGAAAUGCGUAGAGAUCUGGAGGAAUACCGAUGGCGAAGGCAGCCAUCUGGCCUAAUACUGACGCUGAGGUACGAAAGCAUGGGGAGCAAACAGGAUUAGAUACCCUGGUAGUCCAUGCCGUAAACGAUGUCUACUAGCCGUUGGGGCCUUUGAGGCUUUAGUGGCGCAGCUAACGCGAUAAGUAGACCGCCUGGGGAGUACGGUCGCAAGACUAAAACUCAAAUGAAUUGACGGGGGCCCGCACAAGCGGUGGAGCAUGUGGUUUAAUUCGAUGCAACGCGAAGAACCUUACCUGGCCUUGACAUACUAGAAACUUUCCAGAGAUGGAUUGGUGCCUUCGGGAAUCUAGAUACAGGUGCUGCAUGGCUGUCGUCAGCUCGUGUCGUGAGAUGUUGGGUUAAGUCCCGCAACGAGCGCAACCCUUUUCCUUACUUGCCAGCAUUUCGGAUGGGAACUUUAAGGAUACUGCCAGUGACAAACUGGAGGAAGGCGGGGACGACGUCAAGUCAUCAUGGCCCUUACGGCCAGGGCUACACACGUGCUACAAUGGUCGGUACAAAGGGUUGCUACACAGCGAUGUGAUGCUAAUCUCAAAAAGCCGAUCGUAGUCCGGAUUGGAGUCUGCAACUCGACUCCAUGAAGUCGGAAUCGCUAGUAAUCGCGGAUCAGAAUGCCGCGGUGAAUACGUUCCCGGGCCUUGUACACACCGCCCGUCACACCAUGGGAGUUUGUUGCACCAGAAGUAGCUAGCCUAACUGCAAAGAGGGCGGUUACCACGGUGUGGCCGAUGACUGGGGUGAAGUCGUAACAAGGUAGCCGUAGGGGAACCUGCGGCUGGAUCACC
rnacentral:rRNA from 1 species